ACGAAGGGGGCUAGCGUUGCUCGGAAUGACUGGGCGUAAAGGGCGCGUAGGCGGAUGGCACAGUCAGAUGUGAAAUUCCCGGGCUUAACCUGGGGGCUGCAUUUGAUACGUGUGAUCUAGAGUGAGGAAGAGGGUCGUGGAAUUCCCAGUGUAGAGGUGAAAUUCGUAGAUAUUGGGAAGAACACCGGUGGCGAAGGCGGCGACCUGGUCCUUUACUGACGCUGAGGCGCGAAAGCGUGGGGAGCAAACAGGAUUAGAUACCCUGGUAGUCCACGCUGUAAACGAUGUGUGCUGGAUGUUGGGCGACCUAGUCGCUCAGUGUCGUAGCUAACGCGAUAAGCACACCGCCUGGGGAGUACGGCCGCAAGGUUG
rnacentral:rRNA from 1 species